rnacentral:rRNA from 1 species
GACGAACGCUGGCGGCGUGCUUAACACAUGCAAGUCGAGCGAUGAAGCUCCUUCGGGAGUGGAUUAGCGGCGGACGGGUGAGUAACACGUGGGUAACCUGCCUCAUAGAGGGGAAUAGCCUUUCGAAAGGAAGAUUAAUACCGCAUAAGAUUGUAGCUUCGCAUGAAGCAGCAAUUAAAGGAGUAAUCCGCUAUGAGAUGGACCCGCGUCGCCUUAGCUAGUUGGUGAGGUAACGGCUCACCAAGGCGACGAUGCGUAGCCGACCUGAGAGGGUGAUCGGCCACAUGGGGACUGAGACACGGCCCAGACUCCUACGGGAGGCAGCAGUGGGGAAUAUUGCACAAUGGGGGAAACCCUGAUGCAGCAACGCCGCGUGAGUGAUGACGGUCUUCGGAUUGUAAAGCUCUGUCUUCAGGGACGAUAAUGACGGUACCUGAGGAGGAAGCCACGGCUAACUACGUGCCAGCCGCCGCCGUAA